rnacentral:rRNA from 1 species
CAGCCGCCGCGGUAACACGAAGGGGGCUAGCGUUGUUCGGAAUUACUGGGCGUAAAGCGCACGUAGGCGGAUAUUUAAGUCAGGGGUGAAAUCCCAGAGCUCAACUCUGGAACUGCCUUUGAUACUGGGUAUCUUGAGUAUGGAAGAGGUGAGUGGAAAUCCGAGUGUAGAGGUGAAAUUCGUAGAUAUUCGGAGGAACACCAGUGGCGAAGGCGGCUCACUGGUCCAUUACUGACGCUGAGGUGCGAAAGCGUGGGGAGCAAACAGGAUUAGAGACCCCCGUAGUCCCUGUCUCUUAUAC